rnacentral:rRNA from 1 species
UACGUAGGGUGCGAGCGUUGCCCGGAUUUAUUGGGCGUAAAGGGCGCGUAGGCGGCCACGCACGUCCGUUGUGAAAUCGCCCGGCUCAACUGGGCGGGGUCAGCGGAUACGGUGUGGCUCGAGCAAGCUAGGGGGCAAUGGAAUUCCCGGUGUAGUGGUGGAAUGCGUAGAUAUCGGGAGGAACACCAGUGGCGAAGGCGGUUGCCUGGAGCUUUGCUGAUGCUGAGGCGCGAAAGCGUGGGGAGCGAUCCGG